CACGGAGUUAGCCGGUGCUUAUUCAUCAGGUACCGUCAACGGCGUUAGAAAACACCGGUUUCUUCCCCAAUAAAAGAAGUUUACAACCCAGAGGGCCUUCAUCCUCCACGCGGCAUGGCUGGUUCAGACUUGCGUCCAUUGACCAAUAUUCCUUACUGCUGCCUCCCGUAGGAGUCGGGCCCGUGUCUCAGUGCCCGUGUGACUGGUCGUGCUCUCACACCAGUUACUGAUCGUCGGCUUGGUGGGCCAUUACCCCGCCAACUACCUAAUCAGCCGCACGCCCAUCUUUAAGUGCCGGAGCUUUAACAGCUGUGUGAUGCCACACCACUGUCUUAUGGGGUAUUAAUCCAAGUUUCCCUGGGCUAUUCCCCGCUUAAAGGAAGGUUGCGUACGUGUUCCGCACCCGUUUGCCGGUCGCCACCCAGUAUUGCUACCUGUGCUGCCCCACGACUUGCAUGUAUUAAGCCUGCCGCUAGCGUUCAUCCUGAGCCAGGAUCAAACUCU
rnacentral:rRNA from 1 species